AACGAACGCUGGCGGCGUGCCUAACACAUGCAAGUCGUGCGAGAAAGUUCCUUCGGGAGCGAGUAAAGCGGCGCACGGGUGAGUAACACGUAGGUAACCUGCCCCCCAGUCUGGAACAACUAGAGGAAACUCUAGCUAAUGCCGGAUGAGACCACGAUCCCUUCGGGGGUUGCGGCCAAAGAUGGCCUCUACUUGUAAGCUAUCGCUGAGGGAUGGGCCUGCGGGCCAUUAGCUUGUUGGUGAGGUAACGGCUCACCAAGGCUGUGAUGGCUAGCUGGUCUGAGAGGAUGACCAGCCACACUGGGACUGAGACACGGCCCAGACUCCUACGGGAGGCAGCAGUGGGAAUAUUGCGCAAGUGGGCGAAAGCCUGACGCAGCGACGCCGCGUGGGUGAUGAAGGCC
rnacentral:rRNA from 1 species